rnacentral:lncRNA from 1 species
GUCAUGCAUGACGUUGAGUCGUAUCAGAUUGCAUAGUUAGUUACUCAAAGACAAGGACGGUUUAGUUAUACAAUCUAUCCAUACCGGUACAUAUAAUGUUUGUUGUAUAUAUUUUGCAAGAAAUUGUGGUGAGGGAAGACAACUAGUAAGUAUGUAGCCUAUAAUACAUUCACUAAUGUACUGCGGUUUAUAUGUUUAUUAUAAAAUUGCAACCAUGAUGUUAAUGCUUACGAUCGCUUAUUAUAUAUAUUACUGGAUAAAGUCAACUACCACCCAAAUGAAACAAAUCUUCGACUGAGUUAAUUUGUGCAGUUCAUGGCUAUAUGUUGACGGAAAGACAAAGUCACAUCGAGUAUAAAAUAUAAGUUAAUAAGUAUAAAAUGUCGAUGUUCGUGCAGUUACGAGUAUUAAACCGGCCCGGAUGUGUGACUGCUCACAUAUACAGUCAAUAAUUUAAGCUCGUAUAGGUUCUUUAACACUCCCCAUUUGGCUUAGAUAGGAAAAUAUCUGUAUGUCGUGCGCCGUAGACCCCUCGCUUUGUCCACGUUCUGUUCUGGCAUGCAAUUGAACAUUUUCUAAAGCUCCAGAACAUAUUCUUUAAGUUUUGACUCGUGUACAGCCGGAAUUUGCCUGCCAGGAAAAUGUAAAUAGGUAUCUUUUAUACACAGUAUCUUUUAUACAAUGUCCCAAAGGCAAAGUGUAAAAUAUCAAUAAAAUAAGACGAACUAGCAAACGUUUAGUCAACAUACAGUAGCUAUCACAACAGCAAUAACAUGUUCAGUGCUAAAAUCUUAGUUUAGCAAUUAACUGGUUUGAAUGUAGUGAUAUCAAGUUGUCUGAUACGGCAUUAACUCAUGCGGGUCAUGACUGACAAUAACAAUAAUAGCGAUUAUUUCAUGAUUGACUCGGUUUUCUUUGAUGUACCGCGGGCUGUAUAUAGCAUAAUGCCCUUGAAUACCAUACAGCCCUAAUUAGUCAAGAAAUAAGCGAGAAAACUAGAAAAAUACUUGUCGAAAUCGAAAAAAAAGAAUAAAACUUUGUUAGAAAACCUCUUCAAUCAUGAAAUAAGUCAGUUAAUUACCUCGAAUGUCGGGCUUUAUGCUAUAUAAAGCCCUCGAACGCUUCGCGUUCUCGGGGCUGUAUAUAGCAUAAAGCCCUCCUUCUCGGUAAUUAACUCUUACUUAGCGGUUGUAAAAAAUUUACCUGUUCUGGCCGGUUAUUGUGUACAUUGUACAGGGAUGUUUGAUUUACAUGCAAGUUGAAUCUAAACCAACCUCGCAAGCCAGGGCCUUUACCUCCGCAGUCCGCACGGUGCUUUUAAUUAAACCGGCUUCAAGUGUUGUUUCGGCUAUUAGUGCAUGAGACUGUUUAAUCAAGCACUUACAACGAAUUGUGAUAUUUUUUGUGACCAUGUUUCAAUACUAUAGAGAGUGUUUCUGUUUCAUCGUUUAGCCAUUUGUAAUUUUAGAUUUAAAGUUUGUUCGUUCACUGCAACCAGGUCGCCUAUGUCAUAAUAUCAAUCAUGUUUCGCUCGCUACUCUGGUUUAUCAGAUUACAAAGCCCAGUCGAAUUGUAAUCAAGACCCAACGUUUCGACCCUCCAGUCUAGUUUCUUCAUCAGGGGUGAUCUAAAGUUGCAAUCGUGGCUUCUUUACGGUGGCCGAUAAGGGCCACCUCUGCUGCAUGGAAACGCGACUGUGCUGCAUGGAAACGCGACUGUGCUGCAUGGAAGCACGAUUGUGCUGCAAGGAAACGCGACUGUGCUGCAAGGAAAUGCGACUGUGCUGCAUGGAAACACGACUGUGCUGCAUGAAAACACGAUUGUGCUGCAUGGAAACACGAUUGUGCUGCAUGGAAACACGACUGUGCUGCAUGAAAACACGAUUGUGCUGCAUGGAAACACGACUGUGCUGCAAGGAAAUGCGAUUGUGCUGCAUGGAAACACGUCUGUGCUGCAUGGAAACACGACUGUGCUGCAAGGAAAUGCGAUUGUGCUGCACAGAAAUGCACCUAGGCCUGUGCUGCAUGGAAAUUGACGAUCAACCUCGUGCACGAGUUGGGACCUUUAAACACGGGGACCCCUGGGUACGAAGUUGAUUGACGAUGUCAGUACAAACACAGGUGGCCCAAUAUCGCAAGCGUCAGUAUAGUAAUGUGUAUUAUAGCAAAAUUAUGUCAUAAAUAUAAAUUUUAAAAUGAAAUUGACUUGCCUAUUUGAUAGUGUGUGUUCUCCUUUUAUUUCUCUUUUGUUAGACUAAUAUUUUUCGAGACUUUGCACUCGAUGGACGAUGGUACUAAUAUACAUACUAUAUGAUAAAGGCAAACUACUUACAAUCCAUCGUCGGCUUAUGCAAUAUUUUAAUUUUGGGAUAGGUAAUAGGACCUCUACAUGCGUCUUGGACCUGUGGUGUACUUAAAAUCAUUAUUUAUCUAAUGGAUUACUGUUAUUUUCAACGGGGUCUUGAAAGUAGACCAUGCCGUGAAACAUUGUAUAAAAGGUGCACGCGUUGUUUUGUGUCUCUUUUUGUUAUUCCAUUGUAGAAAUAUCGUGAUUGAAGUUAGCAUGUGCUGUAUGUAAAGUUAUUACUUGGUAAUUGAUAGGUGUAAUUUGACGAUGCACAUGAAUUUAUCGAUAUCACAGGGUCGGAUUUGACCAUACUGCGAUGUUGUAAAUUAGGAAUUGGUAACAAGACUUGUGAUUUUGCGCUGUGUAAUUUUCCUGUAUCUCAUUUGAGUAAAUGGUUUUCUUAAAAAUAUCUUCACAGGGUCUGGAAAGUAGACCAUGCAGUGAGAUAUUGUAAGCUUAAUCCUUGUUGUUAACUGUGUAUUCCAUAAUCUGUCCGUCACAUGUGGUUAAGUCUAUGUGAGGAUUGUAGGUUUAUCCCUUAGUAUUGAAGUAUGGAUGCAGUUAGAUUAUGUACAUACUCACAGGGUCUUGAAAGCAAACCAUGGCGUGAGAUAUGCAUGUCAUGAGUCCUAUGGUUUGUGUCAUGUAUGUAACUAUUGAUAGGUAGAAUAAGUAGUUGUUGUACAAUCUACAAAAAUGCGGUUUAUAGAAUCUGGCAGAACAUUUAAUUAUGCCACAAGGGUAAACUUUAUUUAAAAUUGGUGUCUUAGACUAAUCAUCCCAGAUGUUUUGUAAAAUGGCGCCCAGAUAAUUACGAUAAUUAUUAAUUACGAUAUUUCUACAAUGGAUUCACAUAUAAGGAUAUGCAACGCACUGUUAUACACGUGCACCUCUUAUACGGGGUCUCACGGCAUGGUCUACUUUCAAGGCCCCGUUGAAAAUAUAAGAAAUCCAUUGGGUAUAUGUGUGUAUAUGUAUGUAUAUGUGUAUAUGUGUAUAUGUGUAUGUAUGUAUAUGUGUGUAUAUGUGUACAUAUACACACAUAUAGAGGUCUUAUUACCUAUUCCAAAAUUAAAAUAUUGCAAGCCCUAUUACCAAUUCCAAAUUUGCAAUAUCGCAGUAUGGUCAAAUCCGGCCCUGUGAUAAAUUCAUGUGCAUCAUCAAAUCACACCUAUCAAUUAUUAUUAUUAUUAAAUUAUUACCAAGUAAUAACUUUACAUACAAUACACGCUAACUUCAAUUACGAUAUUUCUACAAUGGAUUUACAUAAAAAUACACAAAACAACGCACGCAUUACACGCGUGCACCUUUUACACAAUAUUUCACGGGAUGGUCUAUUUGAAGACCCCGUUGAAAAUAUAAGAAAUCCAUUGGAUGAAUAAUGAUUAUAAAAUAUAAGUAAACCACAGGUCCGAGACGCAUGUAGAGGUCCUAUCACCUAUCCCAAAAUUCAAAUAUUGCGAAUUUUUUUGGAGAAUAAAGCGAUUUGAGUGGGAGAAUUUUAGAUUCGAAGUGCCGUGCAGAUGGAUCGAUGAUUGUAAGUAGUUUGCCUAAAGUAUCAUAUAGUAUGUAUAUUAGUGUCAUCGUCCAUCGAGUGCAAAGUCUCGAAAAAUAUUAGUCUAACAAAAGAGAAAUAAAAGAAGAACACACACUAUCAAAUAGGCAAGUCAAUUUCAUUUUAAAAUUUAUAUUUUAUCACAUAAUUUUACUAUAAUACACAUUACUAUACUGACGCUUGCGAUAUUGGGCCACCCGUGUUUGUACUGACAUCGUCAAUCAACUUCGUACCCAGGGGUCCCCGUGUUUAAAGGUCCCAACUCGUGCACCAGAACCUUUAAACACGGGGACCCUUGGUACGAGGUUGAUCGUCAAUUUCCAUGCAGCACAGGUGCAUUUCUGUGCAGCACAAUCGCAUUUCCUGCAGCACAGUCGUGUUUCCAUGCAGCACAGUCGUGUUUCCAUGCAGCACAGUCGUGUUUCCAUGCAGCACAGUCGUGUUUCCAUGCAGCACAGUCUGCAGCACAGUCGUGUUUCCAUGCAGCACAAUCGUGUUUCCAUGCAGCACAAUCGUGUUUUCAUGCAGCACAGUCGUGUUUCCAUGCAGCACAGUCGCAUUUCCUUGCAGCACAGUCGCGUUUCCUUGCAGCACAAUCGUGUUUUCAUGCAGCACAGUCGCAUUUCCUUGCAGCACAGUCGCGUUUCCAUGCAGCAGAGGUGGCCCUUAUCGGCCACCGUACUUCUUAAAUACCCAAGGAAUGAUGUCACCUGUCCAUGAGAUGCAUGUAUAUUCCUCUGGAAAAUAUAUAGGCACCGUCAUCCCUAUUCAAUUAACACGCUUCUAGGCAUAUAGUCUUUGACCAUAGCAAUUCUUUCUGGUAAAUUACUUUAGAGUUUUCCCACGCAAUCUCGUGUUUGGUGUCACACACAUUAUUAUUAUUAUUAUUAUUAUUAUUAUACAAUUUAUUUAAGCACGGUAAAAUCUACUGUAGUUACAAGAAAGACAAUAAACUAAUACUAAUACUGGUUUACAAGAUUGCCGUGUGGGGGCUCGUUUAUUCGUCGAAAUACUUAUUAACAGCUUUUUUAAAUUUAGCCAGCUGUGUUUGAAGCUUUCUUAUUUCUUGAGGAAGGCUAUUCCACAAUAGUGCACCACCAUAACAAAAGCUUCGUUUUAAGUAAUUUGUUCGUGGCUUAGGCAAAUUCAGUCUCAUUUCAGAAUUUCUUAGGUUAUACCCAGUUCCGCGAAUGGAAAAGAAUUCUUGUAAAUAACUGGGAACAUUACUCUUGAGUGUUUUAAACAUAAGACCAAGUUUAAGUUUUUGUCGUCUUAAUGACAAGUUAUCCCACAGGUUAUCCCAACGAAAACUAUCUAAUAAUACACUUGCGUCGGUAUCAUAACUUGAUCUCAUGAUGACUCUCGCUGUUCGGUUUUGCAAUUUUUGUAAUUUAGUACUGAUCCCAUCCAUACCGUGCAGCAAUAGUCGAAAUGAGGCUGAAUGACAUGAAUAUAUGAAUAUGAAUAUAUGAAUAUGAGCCCCCCCCCCCCACCAAUUUUCGAUCUUCUUACGGCCCUGUUUUCCCUUGUCUAAAGUUGAAACAGCCUUUUGAUGUUCUUUUAGUCGUGUACCAAACUGGCAUUUAGACUGACCCAAAUACUCUUUCUCGCAGUCACCGCAUGGUAUAGAAUAUACAGCAUGAGUUUUCUGAUUUGUUUUAAUUUGGCUUUGCGAAAAUAUGGCCUAAAGUCAAAUGGGGUUUUUAGACAACCUUAACAUUACAAGUACUUAAGAUUCUCUUGAUUGGUUCUGUGACACCUCGAAUGUAUGGAAUUAUUGCAUAACCCUUAGUAGAGGUAUCACCCUCUUAGUUAUUUUGGUUCCUACAAACAGGUGAUCUCAGACAAUCAUUAAGAAACCGUUUUGGGUAAUCGUUUUCCCCUAAAACAUUUAGAACAUAUUCACGUUCAUUGGCUUGAGAAUCACUGUUUGACGGCAAGGAUUCAGCUCUUUGAAGCAAAGUUUUUGCUACGGAUCUUUUAUGGUUUACUGGGUGAUGAGAGUCGUAUGACAAAUAUUUGUCUCUGUGUGUGGGUUUGCGAUAAACAUCAGUCUCUAACUUCCCUUCGACAGUUCUGUGCACAUUCAACUGUUGAUAAUAACAGCCCUCAAACACAAUGUAUGUAGUAUUGAGACAAAAAGACAGAAGAUCAAUUUAUAAUAUCUUCUGCAGGCAAGGAUGUUCUUUGUAACAAAGUGGCAUCCUUUCUUACUAGUAGCGUACGGCGUUAUGGCGUACUAGUGUGUUUUAUUGUCGCUUUUGUCUUCAAGAGUUCGGAUCAUGAUCACGUCUUCAUUGUCGUUGACGUUGGCGUUGUAUUUGCCAAGCUCGAUAUUAACUGUACUGAAAAGACAGAUUCCAUAUUUGUUUACGUUUUAUAUAUAGCCAAUUCAGAAAAGGUUAAAUCCAAUGAGCUAUUAUAAUAUUACUGGAGGAAGUGCUCGACAUAAAAAGUGUCCGCAAAAACAUGUCGGAUUUUCGCGCCAUAUGACGCCAUUUCCAUGACAACUGGUUCCUCCGACUCAUGGAAUUACCGCUGAACAGGCUCAAUUCUGAGCCCGCUACAAUUUUCACCCCCCCUCCCCCCACUGGUUUUAUCAAAAAUAUUUUUGCUUUUCGGAAUUUUUGCAGUAAAGUCUCGUUUUUAGUGUGAAGUUUCUUCGAAACUUCACAGUAUUGUGAUGACUGGGAGGAAAUUCAAACUUAUCAGUCAGUCAGUCAGUCAUUCAGUCAGUCAGCCAGUCAUUCAGUCAGUCAGUCAGUCAUACAGUAAACUUUCCGGGGGGUGUAUACGAUUUAUGUUCGUAGUGAUUUAUUGUGCUUUGUCAGUACUUUGAAGGUUAUUUAAGCAAUUUCAGUUAACUUAUUUACAUAUUCUGUUAUCCUUUUGCCAAGUUCACAAAAAUUUCGAGGAAUCGCUUUUGUUAUUGUAUUUUUUUGUAAAUUUUAGAACAUUCGCUUCUCAUGUUGUGUAAAGGAUCUUUACCCCGGAACACCCGAUUUUUUUUAGUAGCGCAAAUGCGCAUGCGCUAUCAAGCCGUAGAUCACGAUGGCGUGACGAUAUGCUAGGAAGGAGUGACAGUGUUGUUUUCAGAUGUAUAAACAUUUCAGACGUGAAUAUUGAGUAAAUUUUUGAAAAUCUACGCAAUAUAUAAAUUGAUCUUAUGCAUUACGGGCGUUGAAUUAAGUGUCGAUAAUAUUUAGACGGUAUAUUCAUUAUACAGAGCUAGGAAGGAGCUAGACCGCCUAGACAGUGCAGUCAACACUCAAGUGUAUAAACAUUUCAGACGUAUUAAAUAUUGAGUCGAAAAUCUUUGAGAUUCUAGGCAUUCAAUUGAGUGCUGAUAUUAUUUUCACGGUAUACUCAUUAUACGGAGGUACAGUACGUACGAAGAAGCGAGACAGUGUUGUUUUCAAGUAUAUAAACAUUUCAGACAUGAAUAUUGAGAAAAUCUUUGAGAUUCUACGCAAUAAUAUAAUAUAUAAAUUGAUGUUAUAAUUACCGGCAUUCAAUUAAGUGCCAAUCGAUAUUAUUUAGACUGUGUAUUCAUUAUACAUUGUCAUUGACUGUAUAAGGUGCUACAUCACAGAACUCAGUACAAAGAGCGAAAAAUUUCAUCAGAUCUGCAUCAGAUCAAUAAAGCGUAAACAACUAUUAAACAGAAGCGGGUGUUUGUACAGGCGUUUACGAAGAAAAUAUUGCGAGACGAAAGAAAUCAGUUGAGUCAGAGCUCCUUAUUUAAAUAAGAAAGACGAGGAGAUAGCCAAUGUGUUAUCGCCAACGUGUUAUCGCCAAUCGCUUGGCUCGCCAACAAGAUUUAUGCAAUGGAAGAAAAAAGCAAGGAGGUACAUGUAGCCAACAUGUACUGUCACGGACCUUGUUUACUGUCUAGCACAACGCCGUUGUCAACGGUGCAAACUUCGUGUUCAGUGCAACGAUAACUCUACCAGAUCUUACGAGAAUCAAUCUGUAGUAUUCUGUACACAGAACUGUAUCAAAGCUUGUCAAAACUGCUUUAAACACUGCUUAACUGUGAAACUAUUGAAAUUUAAAGUGACAUUAUUCAACACAUGCGAAAAGCUGAAAAUAGACGUUACACCGGGAAAAGUCAAAGGUCAAUGAGACUUGUUAUUGUAAAACAUGUCACAAUUAGGUUAAAAUGCGGAAGCGGAUGGAGCGGAUCCACGGAACGGAUAUGCGGAUAAAAUAUGGAACGGAUGAAGAUAAAGUGCUUCCUUUCAAUGAUAUAACGACGUAGUGCUUAUUAUUCAUAACAUAUUGUAUACAGCUAUUUCAAUUAUAGUUUUAGAUAAGUUUAGCAUAGCAGUAGCCUCGUGGGGAUGCUUUUAGCGACAGCUGCAAAUACAAAUGCAAAUGAAAAUUUAGAAUAUGCAAAAUUUGGUUUUUGGUGAAACAAUUGAAUUUUAGCAUGCGUGCAGCAUCACAAUAAAUAGAUAAAUUGUGUCAGUUUCACAAGGCACGUUUCUGAUGUGUCGGGCUUGUUUCAAACGUCGUGCGCCGAGCGCAUGAGAUGAAAUGCCUUUGGUAAUUGUUUAUUUCGUAGUGUAAGCAAUCAGCUUUUCUAGGUUGUCGGCGAACCUAUAUAGUUCUUGCAGUGUCUUUUUCAAUUUGAAACUUCACACUAUCCUUGGAUCCCUAGUUACUUUAAAGUGCCUAUAUCAGGGUUUUGGAGUUUGCAUAUCUCGAAAGUUUAGGGUAUUUUAAGACACUUUGCAAUAUAUUUUGUUAUUGAAAAAUUUCAUCUUGAUGGAUUUAUUAGCUCUUAAAGUUACCGGACAUGACGUCAAAAGGAGAAUUGCAAAUCAGUUUUCCUUUGUUUCAUUGCAACAAAAUUCUCCUUUUGACGUCAUGUCCGGUAACUUUAAGAGCUAAUAAAUCCAUCAAGAUGAAAUUUUUCAAUAACAAAAUAUAUUGCAAAGUGUCUUAAAAUACCCUAAACUUUCGAGAUAUGCAAACUCCAAAACCCUGAUAUAGGCACUUUAAUUUUUUCGACUUUUCACCAUUUAUUCAAAGAUUUAAAAAGUCGUACACGCUAUUCUCACCCGCGAAAGACAACAAACCGAUAUGAAAACCCCGAGAAAUUUAGGCAAAGGCUAUAUUUGAUGGCGGAGCUCACAGGUAAAUAUUUCACAUACUAUUAAUAUGCUUUUAUUUUAAUUUUUAAAAGAUAGAGGGGCUAAAUGAUAGAAUAUAAUCCAUUUAAUAGAUAACAGACUUUUUGUAUUGUAUAACGUAUUAUUUUCCUCCGAGUAGUUAAAGUUUUAUCGUAGAAAAUACAUAAACUUUGUUUAAUUCACUCAUAGACAGCCGAAAAAUGCGUGGUGAACAUUUUUUAUUUUUACCCUCCCGCGUGGCGCUCGGGCGUGCAUCGUUUCUACUUCGUUUAUAUUAAUUUAUGAUAUAAAUCACUCUCAAAAUCGGCCCAACAAAUCGCAGCGUGUAAACGUACCUUUAUAUUAAUUUAUGAAGUAAACUGGAACGAUAACUCCUAUGAUAAAGGCCUAUGUUUGGGUGAAGCCAAAUUUCGGGCGCUCAAGUACAGCCUGUUCGCAGGUAUAUGUAUACGAAAAUAAAUACACAAAAAAUUUUAACGAUAUAUUUUUACUAAUUUAAUCCUUAAUUUUAACUUAUUAAAGUAAUAAAGUACGUUUCUGGAUGUUUGAACUCCAUUAACAACCGUAUCUAAGACUUUUCUACAUAAAUUGUAUAAUUUUGUUCCUGAAGUCUUUCUGGAAAGUUUAAAAACUCAGAAAAACCAUAAAUUUUCGCGCGGUUUUUUGCCGAGUUUCGUUUUGUUUGUUUCAUAUUUUGUUUCAUAUUUUUGCUUAUUUUAUGUGCCUUAGAUAAAAGUUGUGUUGUCUAAGUUUUCUCUAGGAUAAAUAUAAAUGUCUUGAAAAAAGUGGAAAUGAGAUAAUAUUAACGAUUUUUAAGCUGUAUUUUUCGCAUCCAUUUUGUAAAAAAGGACUGAGGCUACCUGCAGAAAACACUCAUAACCGGCUUCAAAGAUGACGGCGAACUUAAUAUAAUAAUAAACGAAGUGAGACUCAAUGCACGCUCGAGCGCCACGCGCGAAGGUAAAAAUGUUCACCACGCAAUUUUGGGCUGCCUAUGAUUCACUAAGUUAAAUCAGUUUCUUACCUCGAAUCAAUAGACUGAAAUCUGACAUGCUUGAUUUUAUGCAAUUGUAUAUAUGGUGCUGAAUAAGUGUAUAUUCAGGUUUAAAGGCAUGAAACAAUGCGCUUCUAUCUAUAUUAUUUUGUAUUUAUAUAUACUAGAGUCUGUGUUUAUUAUAGUAUGCAUAAUCUAGAGGUGCCAGUAGAACGCAGUCUAGGGGUGCCAGAAGCUCAAGAUACUGUGGGCAGCUUAUCUGCAUGGUAAUACGAUUUCUACCUAGAUUUCUGGCUAUAUAAUGACAUGUUGGAUUGAGGAUUAUUGAACCACCAGAAAUAGGAUUGUACUUCUUGAAUGUUGGGUACCAGUCACCAGUGUAUAAGCAAAGUAUGUAGAUUAUAGUCUUUAUAGGGUUGCACUGGAUCUCAUUAUACAGGCCAGAACUGUGAAAGUCACGCAUCCUAGUCAGACAUCAAGUCAGAAACAAUUUAAUUGGUAGAUAAUGUCACUUCUACAGUAGUCUCAGGUGGAUUUAUUUGGGAUUUUGUUCAUUUCAGUCCUCUCUCUCUGUGCAUCCCUGUAUGAUGCAACUACCUGAAACUAAGAAAUCAAUGAACUUCAAUAUUUCAAGUGGAAUUAAAACCUAUGCUAUAGUAUUAUUUUUCAGGUAUAGUUGUAUGAUACAUUGAAGCCUUCAAAUAGUGUGGUGGCUUAAUUAAGUUGCUUUUCUUCUCAUUUCAUUUCUUCACUUCUUAUUCUUUUGUCUCUAGUGAAAACUUUAGUUUACAACAUUUUAAUAAUUAUAUAAUCUCUUUUUCCUCUUUGCAGAAUUAUUUGAUGGUGGGACAAUUCAUAUAGUUACAUAUAUUUUUUGGUUCAACCUCUUUAUUUUUCAAGAAUAACAAUAUAAUUAUAAAUUAUUAGAAAUUAUUAAUUUUGUGAGCAGUGAGCUACAUAAACUAUCCAGACAAGUUAUUAUUAUGACUUUGUAGCCAGAUGGGUAUGAUUUUACUUUGGCUGUUCAGCAUUUUGAUCCAUUUUGAUAUGUCUUGUUGUACCUGUGAAUGAUUUUACCUGCAAAAUGAAUGACAGAAUAUCAGAUUCGAAUGUAACAUUACAUUAAGAUACAUCCUUACACUGCAAUAAUAUAAUUAUGUAAUAGAUGUUCAGUGUGAAGAAUAUGGUCUUUGACACUUUGUAUAUAUUAAACAUGUUAUUGUGCAAUGGAAAUGAUCGAAUAAAGCUAUUUCUGCAACAGCCCUUGCAUUCAAACACCUUAUUUGUAUUUUAUAAUUACUUGUUCAUGCUUGAGCAUCAGCCUCAGAAUAAGCAAAUUCCAUUGGAUUUGUGAGGGCACUUGAACUAUAUUGGGUCAUUACGGAAAAGUUUCAGACUCCCACAGAUGCUACAAAGUUACAGCUGUGACAGUGUAUAGAGGGGAUCAACUAGUAAAAUGUGCUAGAAUAUCUAAAGGGGGGAGGGUGAUACAAAUAAUAAAAAUGAUGUUUAAUAUAGACUUAAAAUUAUUAAGCAAUUGAGUGCACCAGCACUUUCCCCUUGACAAGUAAAAUUAUCUGUCAUUGGACUGAGUAAGAUAACAAAGUAGGGCACAGUGCCCCUUAAUUAAUAACUUAAUUCAAGGUUUAAAUGUUGAAUUUUUUGAAAGUGCCAGAGUGGUAACUGGCAGGGUACUAAAAAGGUAGCCGGGUUGUGCACAUGCAUCUUAAAUAAAUACUGCUACAAAAACCUGGUAGUUAGCAGUUAAAAGUUAAAACCAAUCACCAAUUUCAUUAGUUCAAAGUAAUAUAAAACAAAACAAGUCGGGAAAAGGAUUUCGAACCCAAGAUGAGACAAAAUUAAUAUGAGAAUGAGUUUGAAUAUAAAGAAUAAAAAAGAGGAUAAAUUACAAAACUACUGUGAUAUUGUUGAAACUAGCAAUAUUAUACAUUAUUUUGCUGUCUAUAACGGUAGUUUUUGACAUAAUGUAUUUAUGCUUUGUCAUGGAAAUGGCAACUUAAAUUUGCCAAGCAGCCCAAGCUUUGCAUAGCUAUAGAAGUUAAAAUAAGUAAAAGAAAAAAAACUUUCGUGAAUCUUACCUGAAAACAAGAAAUAUAAUAAUCCUUUCGAGUGAAUUGUUUCAUCUACUAGCAGAGCAAAAACUGAAAACUAACGCACUUUUUCCUCGACUGCAAAAAUAUCAAAAAUUUUAGUCAAAACUCGAAAAUUAUGAUCAAAAUUUGUGCAAAAACCAGGGGGGUGAAGGACUUUUUUCAAGCCUGGGAUCGCGGUUGGCCAGUGGUAAUUGCAAUGAGCCGGAGGAACCAAUUGGCGUCAGCAAACAUGAAAAUCCGCAUGUUUUCCCGGACAUUCGUUUGGUUAAAUCUUAAACUCUAAGCGCGCAAAGCUUAAUGGGAGCACAUGUUUCAAGCUUAUAAGUAGCUGAAUAUUGCAGGUAAUUGUGAAUAAAUUGUUCUCAUAAGGAGAUAUUUACCAUGUCUUUAAGAAAUGGUCCCUGCAUACAUGAUUUCUAAACUGAUUGAAUGAUGCGCCCAUCAUGUUUUGCACGCUUAGAGUUUAAGGUUUGGAAAAGCAUCCUUUUUUGAAUUAUCUGUAUAUACAGGGUGUCUCCAGAAAAAUCCAACUAGAAUUUGACUGAUGCCUCAGCAUUCUGCUGAACCAACAAAUGCAUAAAAGUUUGACGUACUGUAAGUAAAUUUUAUGCAUAAAGAAACUGUUUAAGAAGCUGCUUUAAAUUCCCAAGAGCGGAAAAUCGUGCACUUUACAAAGGUAUUUUAAUUUCCUAAUAAGUCAAUAUUUAAUAUAUGCACCCCGUCAAUAUUUUACGCGUCUUUGCGUUCAGUUUAAUGCUAGGGCAUUCGAAUGCUGACAAUACGUUAUUCAAUAGUUUUGGGUUUGUUUGGGACACCCUGUAUAGGUGGUAUCCAACUAUUCUCAGGGGACUAAAAACUCAAAGAGAAUUUGGCCAUGUUUGAUGAAAUUAGAUUAUUGCAAACAAGGAAUAUCGUAUGUAAAAUUCAUCGAACUUGACGUUGAUUACAUGACUUGCACAUCAAGAAUUACGUAGGUUCGUGCAGUAAAAAAUAUGCUUCGGUUUCGACCAGUUAAUACAGCUUUAUAUGAAUAAUAAUAUUCAUAUACAGUACUGUAACCCUACAGUAGCUAUUUCAUUUUUAGUAUAUGCAUUAACAAAAUUUUCCCUUUUUCAGGUUAAUUAUAUUCCACGCACUCAUGCCAUACACGAGUAAUAUCAAAUUCACAAUAGUUCAUAGGAUGGCAAAUUACAAGGAAAUUUCCCUCGAAGAAUCGCAUAAACUAUUGCCAAUUUUCGAAGUAUCUCCUGAGGAUAAAAUCUCCGAAAUUCCUGAUGAAAGAGAGCGGCCACAUUUACUAUC